rnacentral:lncRNA from 1 species
AUUAUAUACUGAGGCAGGAUCUCUUGCUGGACCUAGAGAUUACGAUGCAGGCUAGCCAGCUUGCUCUGGUGAUUCUUGCCAUAGCCCUGGGACUGAAAGCAGACCACCUCACCCACCUGGCCUCACAUGAGUGCUAGGAAUCCAAAACUGUGGUCUUCAGACUUGCAUGGCAAUCACUUUACCCACUAAGCCAUAUCCCCAGGCCAGGCCAAAUCAGUUCUUGAAGUUAAGCACUUUCCAACGAUGUAAGCCAUUUGCACUGUUACAUUCCCAUCACUCUCCGUCCAUCCUCCUUGCACCAUUAUGCAAAGUACACAGUGUCUCUUCACUACCUCUGUAUCUAGAUAUCCUAGUUAGCUUAAACUGUCAACUUGACACAACCAACUAUUAUCUGAGAAGAGAAUUUCUAUUUCAGUGUUUUUCAACCUGUGGUUCUUGGGUUGCCUAAGAGCAUUUGAAAACAUAGAUAAUUUGCAUUAUAAUUCAUAACAAUAGCAAAAUUACAGUUAUGAAGUAGCAAUGAAAAUAAUUUUAUGAUUGGGGGGUCACGACAAUAUGAGGAAUUAUAUUAAAGGGUUACAGCAUUAGGAAGGAUGAAAACCACUGACCUAGAUCAUAUUGACCUGGGCAUGUUGUAAGGGACUGUCCUGAUUGUUGGCUACUAUAGGAUGGCCUACAAUACUGUGGGCAGCACCAUUCCCUAGACAUGAACUGUACAAAAAAGCUAGGUGAGCAGAAGCCUGUCUGCCAACCAGCCAAGAACAUUCUCUGUAAUUCUUGCCGCAUGGUCUUUGGCGAUGAAUUGAUUACUUGGUCAGAGGAAAUGCUGUGUGGGAGAGAAAGCAGACAGCAAAGAUCCACUUGUUUCUCUCUGCUCUCAAUUUAGGAUUAAUGUGAUUAGCUGUCCAAGUUCCUGCCUUGACUUCCCCUCAAUGAUGGCCUGAAGCCUAGAAUUGUAAGCUGGAUCAACCCUUUCCUCCCUUAAGUUGCUUUUGGUCAGAAUACUUUAUUCCAGAAACAAAAUGAAUCUAGGACAUUAUGUCUCCUUGUUUCACUUCCACUGCAGCCCUUAAUAUUUCCUCAAACAGAGGUCUACUAAAGAAAAAUCUUUUAAAAAUUACUUAUAUUUUCAUAUGUUUAUCUGAGGAGUAUGUAUAUAUGAAUGCGCAUUCAUGUGUGUGGAGGACAUAUAUCAUUUAUGGCUAUUUUCACUCUAUAUGAGGAAGUCAGGUUGUUGUGAUAGAGACCAUAACUCAAAAACUGAAAAUAUUUACCAUCUGGUUAUCUUCAGAAAAAGGCUACCAAUCUAUAAUCUAAGCAUUUCUACUAAUCAUGUGCAGAACAAACAGUUUGGCUAUUUCAAAGAUGAGCAGGCACAGAGAUAAAAUGUAAUUCAAAAUGUUCACAUUGGCAGUACACCCCAACAACUGUGGUACCCCCACUCUUAUAAGAACUAGUUAAGUACAACUACUAUCUUCAUUUCCUUUGUAUUCUCAUUUACUGACAAAGGUCAUCAAAUAUUUCAAUUACUAAGCUUUACAAGAGGCUGGAAAGACAGAAGACCCAGGUUCAAUUCUCAGCACCCACAUGACAGCUCAUAGCCAUUGGUAACUGUUGUUCCAUGAGAUCUGAUGCCCUUUUUUAAAAGAUUUACUUAUUUUAUUUAUGUGAGUACACUGUUGCACCCAUCAGACACACCAAAAGAGGGUACUGCAUCCCAUUACAGAUGGUUGUGAGCCACUAUGUGGUGGCUGGGAAUUGAACUUGGGAACCCUAGAAGAGCAGUCAGUGCUCUUAACUGCUGAGCCAUCUCUCCAGCCCCUGAUCUGAUGCCCUCUUAUUGCCCCUACAAGCACCACAGGUACACACUUGUAUCUGUACGUAUACAGAUAUACAUAUAGGCAAAAAUACAUACAGAUAAAAAAUAAAAUAAAAUACAUUUUUAAAGUGCCUUCAUGAAAUACACUAGGUAGCACAUACAUGUUAUCCUAGCACUUAAGAGGUUGAAGCAGGAAUUUUAGGCCAGCCUGGGUUAUAUAAUGAGACCUUGUCCCAUGCAAAUUGUUUUUACAGUAAUGAUAUUCUAAGAGUGACAUAGAAUAUAGUUUUUGUCUCACUGCUCCAAGUUCUUUGUUAUCAUAAAGCUUUUUAUACUGCUAAGAUAAUUAUAUAUCCUGUUUUCUACACAAAACUGCCUGUACUUUUCAUAUAUUAAAUCUGAACAAAACAAGUCUUACCUCCUCAGCUUUGCUCUUGACCUCAGUUGGUAUUUGCUUAUUCUUACGAAUUUUCAACUGCUCUUUGGCUUUCUUCAUGUCUUUUUCUACUCUUUGCCAGUCAACUUUGAUGUAUCCAGUAUGGUUUGCCAGCUACAAAUUUAACAGUAAUAAAAAAGUAAUAAGGAACAUGGUCUUUGGCAUUUCUUUUUGUCAAGAUAAAUCUUGCAAAUAGGUAAUCAAAACUCUUUUGACUUACAUUAUUGGAGAAAUUAGUUAUUUUUGUGACUUUUGGGCAAAAUGUACAUACUACAUUCAAUGUUCCAUAUUUGGUAAUAGAAAUAAAGAACUGUCUUCAACUGU